CUAAAGGAGAGUAGCGGGGGCAGCCACAGGCAGGUCGAGGGGUCCAAGACAAAUUGCUCUCGGAUGACGAGUGGCGGACGGGUGAGUCAUGUCUGGGAAACUGCCUGAUGGAGGGGGAUAACUACUGGAAACGGUAGCUAAUACCGCAUAACGUCGCAAGACCAAAGAGGGGGACCUUCGGGCCUCUUGCCCUCAGAUGUGCCCAGAUGGGAUUAGCUAGUAGGUGGGGUAACGGCUCACCUAGGCGACGAUCCCUAGCUGGUCUGAGAGGAUGACCAGCCACACUGGAACUGAGACACGGUCCAGACUCCUACGGGAGGCAGCAGUGGGGAAUAUUGCACAAUGGGCGCAAGCCUGAUGCAGCCAUGCCGCGUGUAUGAAGAAGGCCUUCGGGUUGUAAAGUACUUUCAGCGGGAAGGAAGGCGAUGAGGUUAGUAACCUUGUCGAUUGACGUUACCCGCAGAGAAAGCACCGGCUAACUCCGUGCCAGCAGCGCGGUAAUACGGAGGGUGCAAGCGUUAAUCGAAUUACUGGGCGUAAAGCGCACGCAGGCGGGUCUGUCCAGGUCGGAUGUGAAAUCCCCCGGGCCUCAACCCUGGGGAACUGCAGUCCAAACUUGGCAUGCUAGGGUCCUUUGUAGAAGGGGGGGGAAAACUUCCGGGGGGUACGAUGAAAAUGCGUAAAAGAUCUGGAAGAAUACCGGGUGGCGAAAGCCGCCCCCUUGGACAACACUGGACGCUCACGUGCAAAAGCGUGGGGACCAAACAGGGAUUAAUACCCUGGGGAGUCCCCUCCGUAAAACAAUGUCAACUUUGUAAGGUUGUGCCCCCUGGAGGCGUUGCCUUCCCGGAAAUAAACGCCGUUUAGGGUCCGA
rnacentral:rRNA from 1 species